GGAGAUCCACCAGGCCUGUCGCUACGGGCACGUGCAGCACCUGGAGCAUCUCCUGUUCUACGGAGCCGACAUGGCGGCGCAGAACGCCUCAGGAAACACCGCCCUGCACAUCUGCGCCCUCUACAACCAGGAAAGCUGUGCCAGGGUUCUCCUCUUCCGAGGCGCCAGCAAGGAAAUCCGGAAUUACAACAGCCAGACGGCGUUCCAGGUGGCCAUCAUUGCAGGGAAUUUUGAGCUGGCGGAAAUCAUCAAAACCCACAAAGAGUCCGAUGUUG